CCUAUUUCUCCCACGGCUUUGGCCGCCUUAUUCCGUCACCUGAGAGUUGAGAUCUAUGUUAGUACCGGCAAAGCUGGUCUCUUGCUUCCCAACCGACCUUCUCAAAGUUGACAAAACAAAGGUUAUUUCUGAAUGACCUUUUUGGUUCGCGAAAUUUAGGUCCAGGGUUUCCAGCUUAUUACAAUUUUUGUGUAAAUCCUUAUUAGAGGACAAAAAUGAAGAGGAUUAUAGAUACUUAUCCCAAGUUAUACUAUGUUGAAUGUUUUUUUCUCUUCGAUUUAGUGAUGAUUUUUAACAGAGCCAUAUAUUGAUUUUCAUCAAUUAAAUUGUAAUUUCAUAAGGUAGCUGCUAUCUUGUAUCAGCAAAGCUACCAGGUAAUUUUGUACUCCGAGAUUAGACUGUCCUCUCAGUCUCUCCUAGGAUUUGAACCUUGGUAUCCAGCUAGAACUCUUAGAUUCAUGUGUUUCUAUAACUCACGUUUUGAAGGUUGAUUUUUAUUGGACUUUGCAGGCAUGCCUUUUCUACUUGGUACGUGGAGAACUUAACCCUGUUUGUAAGAUCAUGAGUUACUGCCUAAUUUUGUAUAUGCCAUAGGACUUCUGAUCAGCAAUGGUAUUGGUUAACAUGAUAGACUAGCAGUCAAGUAUAGUCAUAGAAUAUAAGGAAUUUAGAUCUUGUGUGCGCAAAUCUUUUUGUGAUUAUUUUAGCACCUCAGUCCUUUAUUUUCAAAGAGUAGGUUAAAUUAUUGACUCAAUUAUUCCUCAUUAUCUUCUUUUGCUUCUCGCUGGAGCAGCAAGAAGAGGAGAGAGGGUAAAUUUAUGCAGUGAAAACUUCACUUGCUCACUGAUUGAAAAAAAGCAUGUUACUCUCCUCUUAUUAAUUAUAUUGGUAAUUUCUUUUUUACAAAGAGUUUUGACUAGCUAUGUGUUACAUAAAGUAAUUGCUGUAAGCUAUUCGUAUGUCUGUUUUAUUAAUUCAUAUAAUUCUACACAUUCAUCAGGUAGUUUUACCUUGUAAUCUUGAUUGAAUUAGGGGUUGUUGCAGUCACAGUUUUGAGUGAUACAUUUUAUUGCAUUUUGUUCAUAUAUUUGGCUGUUUUUAUUCUGGACAGAGGAUGAUACCAACAUCCCCGCCAAGGAUAAAAUACCUAUUGUGCUGUUUCGUUGGCAUUUUUGUGAUCGUGAAUGGCAAUUUUCAUGUAAGCAUAUGAAUACAACCUGUGAGUAUCCCUCAAUUCUCAAUAUUGCUUUAUGAAUUACUUUGUUAUAGUGAUUGCGCUUUUGCGGUUGAAGAAUCCCAAACUGGAAAGGCUUCAACUACUUCUGAGGGGUUAUCUAUGAAACUUUUCAUUUCUUACGUUAGACAGUAGCCCGUAUAUCAAAGUUCACUUUCCUACCCACAUAUGUUUCUCUUGUGGCUCUAUAGUCAAAUUACUCAAGGCCACACAUAUACAGAACGUUUGCCAAUGAUAUGAGAUAUGGGCUUUCUGUGAUAGUUGUAAACACAAAUGCAUCAAGAUAGUGCCUGACAGAGGCCAUAAAGGAAAAGAGAAAAUAACACAAUAAUUUUGGCAUCGUUUCUUUUGUUUAUUACUUGCUAAAUAUGCACUGUAGUUGCCGUACAAAGAAGAUUGGAGUAUAAAUAAGAGAAUCUUUUCACUAAUAAUCUAUUAAGGUAUAAAUACUGUUUUAAGUAAAGAAUCAAGGAUAUUAAACAUAGAGUUUUUAAGGCUGGAAGAGACGAGUACUCUUUUGGUAAAACUCGGUUCAAUUAUCUCUCGGAUUUGCAGGAUUUGUUGUCUUUAAUUAAAGCCACAUCCUGAGGAACUUUUGGUUGUAUCUGAUAUCAGUAUAUCCCUUCCAGGUAAUGUAGUGAGUUAUGUCAUUACUUCUUUAUUUAACAGAUGAAUAGAGGAUUACACAUAGGUUCAUAUUGUUAGAACAUACACAGCGGAAGCUAGCAUACAAACCAGACAUCAAAUACAUGUAAACUAGACAAUGAUAUAAUUACUCGAUUAGAAGCACUAACCUCUUGAAAUCGUUGCACAAAUCCUCCAUACAGCAAGAAUCCAGGGCUGCAGUCUUCUGCUAUGGUCCUAAUAAGACCUUGGACGAAUUUGCUUUGAGUGGGCAAAAACAAUACAACUCUAAAAGUGAGUUAUUGGGUGAAAAUGUCUUCCUUAAGUAGACACGUUUUCAGCCAAAAAUUAGGCUCUCAAAAACGUGUAGAAUUCUAUUUGCACAAGUAGAAUCCUACUCUAACUCUACCGGAUGACUUUUCUCCCAAGUCACUUUUUACCCAAGUCAGUCCAGAUUUUUACUAGGCAUAGCAGGGACCACAGAAAUAAUAAGAGGCUACUAAUUAUAGUAUUAAUUCGAAAUUUUGCAUGAAUUAAUUCUUACUAUAAUUAAUUGCAGUUUAUUUCACUAAAAAACUGCAAUUGAACUCCUCAAUAUGAGUUUCGAAAAUUCACUAACGCUUAUUUUAACUCCCCAUGUUAAGAUCCCAAAUACCAGUUAAUUAAAUUAAAUCACUGAAAAUUUAAUUUAAUCAACUAAUUAAAUCUUUUAUAAUUCUGCUUAAACUAUUUCAUGUGACGGAUACAAAAUCCACCGGCCGAGUUUUCACAUGAAAACUUAUAAGCUUACAUGAAAGGGGUAUCAUCAAACUCAAAACCGAGCCAUGGAUUCUAUCUACUAAUUAUUAUUUCACAAAUGUUAUUCAUUAUUGUCCAAUCUAUUAGGCAUACACUAACUCUGAAUAGAGUUGUACCUUUUAAUAAAUCAAAACAAUAAACAAAUCACAUUGAUCAUAAUAAUUAUAUCAAGAUAAGGAGUAUAAGCUCAUUUUAAUGAAUAAGAGAAAAUGUUUUAUAUAUAUUCAGUACAAAUUUUUUGUCUACUUGGUUCGUUCAAUAUACACUAAGUAUACUAGCACAAGAAGUUGGAGUAAAAUCACUCCCAUAAUCAAGACAAAUUAUAUUAUAAUCUUGUGCUACAAUCAUCAAGAUAUUUUGUCCAAUAAUAUCUUUGAUUGUGAACAUAGUUUAUUAAUUAUGUGAACCGACAAUUUAAUCUUCUGUGCAUGAGCUAAAACUCCAUACACUAAAUUGUCUACUACAUAACUAAAAGGACACACAUGUAACAAAUGAUCUAUUUUAAAAGGUACUUUAUUGAAUUGAAUAAAUUAAAUAAACAAUUGUUCCAUGGGAGCUAAAUGGGAAUGGAGAUUCAGGUGAGCUAAAUGAUCGGUUUUGACUAGUAGAAGCCAGUAUACAAUGUGAUAUGAUAACACUGUGAUCUCUAAGAAGGUGCCUUGAUUCUCUCUGAAUUAUGAGGUCGAAUGCCAAAAUUGAUUUUAAGAUUUCUGAAUUUGUGUUCUCUUUUGCUUGAUUCUCAUCGACUAAGGUGAAUUUUCUUAAACAUUCCCCCUCCUCUCUAUGAACAAUAGCUGUAAUUUGUUACAUUUUUCCGUAGUUAGAGUAGAGAAGUCAUCACCAAGUAAUUCAUUCUCUCUUUAGAAUAGAGAAGUCACUGAUUAAUUCAUUCUCUCUGUCAAUCUUUUUAGCUAAUAUUGAGCGCUGAAUUCUUCUUGCUUUUAAGUGAGAAAAUUGCUUUAGUUUGCAUUUUUACUUGAUUUCUUUUGAAUUUUUUUUACAUUUAGGUUGUGCUUUGUCUUACCAUAUUGGAAGAACCUAAGCAGAGGGAAAAGGAAGAAAUAAUUGUCAGAUUGUUGUCUUUUUUCUUAUGUGUUGAGUAUAGGUUGUCUUUUUUCUUAUGUGUUGAUUAUUUCAGCAUUUAUUGUGAAUAUACUUUUCUUAGUCGAUGCAAAUAUGGUUCUCUUUUCCCUUUUUAUUCUUUUUGGUCUUAAACUUUCAGCUUAGAUUUGUUUUCCUUGUGAGAAUUUACUCACUUAUGGUUAUGGAUGCCUUGAGUGCAAUGAUUCCGAUACUAUGACGGUUAAGAAACCUGGAAAAGAAUAGUUUAGCUGAAUUAGUUUUAGUUAUGUUCUUAUCUAAUUCAACAAGGUUUUUCGUUGACAUUCCAAAGCAUAGGGGAUUACUAAAGUCUCAUCAACUUUGUCAAAUGUAGGAUCCCCAAUUUAUAGUAUCCUCCAGAAUGAUUCCCAUGAAGGUAAGCAAACAUAUUGCUGCUUUGUUUGAUGUAUCUCUCUACUAAUUUGAAUUUAAGAUCGGUAAGAGUUAUAGAUUCUAUUUGAAAUUUCUGUUUCAGGUUCAUUAAACAAGUACCACAAUCGCACGCUUUAAGGAAGAAUGCAAGGAAAUACACGAGGUCAUUUUAUCUACAAGGUUAAACCAUUAACUUUUUCUGUGCUAUUUGGACGUUUACAAUACAAUCUAAACAUCGUAUUGUCAUUUUAGCCAUACAGGGGUGAAAUGGUGACUCUGAUAACUGGGUAUUACAAAAGUUCUUUGGUAUACAUGUUUAUUGCGUUCUCAAGCCAGGUGGCUUCUAUUCCAACAAAUACCCUUAACAUAAUUCUAGAAGCAUCCUUGAUAACACGUUAUUGUUAUUUAAUACUUAUAAUUCGAAAAAAAAAACUAUUCGUCAUAUCCAAUACUAUUAGUUAGCAUAAGCAAACUAUAGAUCCACAAAAUUUCACCAUAUAAAGAAACAUUCAGAGCAGCAAAAUCAGCUCGCCGGUAUUAAAAAAGCACAAGUCUCCUAUCGCCAAGGCUGAAAUAAAAUUUGUGGAUUUAAUUACUCUAAAUAAGGUCAGUCAAGCAUAUCAUCAAACAUCUAUGAUGCAUAGUCCACUUAAACAAUUAUUAUUGAUAAUCACAUUAUAAAAAACAAAAUUACCCACAAAAGAAGAAGAAGAGGAAGAGGAACAGAAAGUGAAAGAACUGAAGAAAAAGAAUAUGGGUGCAUCUUCGUCUUCUAACAUUUUUGUCACACAAGCUGGUAAAGUAAUCAUACCCAGUGUAUAUUAGCAUCAGAUCACCCAUCCUCCUCUUUCAUUGCUUAUCUCUUCCUUUCUAGAAUCGAUCUGUAGUAUAGCACAAAUCAAGUUUUCAGUAAAACAAUUUAAUUUUGAAGUGAUAAAUUAGUAGGAAAGAUAUACAUAAUGCAUGUCCGAAACAAGUAUAAUCACUGAUAUGCAUGUAAAAAUUCUAGUAAGAAAUUAUUCAAAACAAUAGAAAAAUUAAACAUAUACUCACCAAACAGUAAUUGCCAACAGAGAAAUUGCAUAAAUAACUCACCAGAAAAAAGAUGGAUAAGCUUUGAAAGAGUGAAGAUCAAAUCACGAACUAAGUUAAAAAAUUCUGAAUAGAAAACCCAGAAACGAGGCUAAGAAAUCGUACCAAAGGAGAAAGAAAAGGUAAGAGGGAGAGAAAGGCUCUGGAAGAUUGGAGAAAAUUCUAGAAAGUACGGAUAUAGAUAUGAAGGAAGAAGAAAUGUAUAAAACAGGUGUCACCAAUAACUACACGUAUUUGAUAGUUAAACGUGGGUUUAUAUUUUUACAAUUACGUAUUUACCCUUGGUCGUCCAAAAACCUUCACUUAUUAAUAUGUUAAAUAAAUAUUUGGAUUGUAUUAACUUGCUUAAAGAGGCACUCAGUGUGGAGAAACAUUUAAGAAUGUAUUUAUUUGUUAAGAAACUCUUCAUGUGAUCCUCUGGAGAAUGUGUUCAUGAAAUAUAGUUUUGGAAGGUGUUUUCUUUUAUUAUGAAGAAUUGUAUGCUAAGAUGAUUAUUCGUGUGGUUAAAAAAGUUUGCGGACGUAGUUGUUCAGCCUCAAAUGUGAGGUGCACAGAAUUCUCUUGCUGCACUUUUGGUAAACUCGAAAGAUAUCUUCUAUUUAGAAAAGCUUAAUUGGUUUAUGUUCUUUUUCUUGUUUAAAUGAUUUGAAGUGAACUGAGAAUCUUGUACCAGAUAGUUGUUAACAUAAAUACUUGGAUGAUUUGCAGACAGUGUCAUAUUCCUACGUAGCUGUAUUUUGUAGAGUGUUAAACGUAUUAAACCGAAAUGAAAGGUGACUGCAUGUGCUUUGUGGUAAUGUUGCUGCAUACGGUGUUUAUGAACUACUAAGUUGUUUUAAUUAAUGUUUGUUGGUUCAGAGAUUAUUACACCUAGUUUUGUAACUUCCUAUACCGACAUGGUACUGCAAUUCUUUUAUCCGUCCGUGAUUACAUGUACAUUAUUGACAAAACAAAGUUAUUUGCUGUCCUUAUUUUCAGAAACUCCAAGCACUGUCAACCUAAAAAGGUAAGUUAUGCUAUUUUACUUAACGCAAUCAAUUUGCAUAAACU
rnacentral:lncRNA from 1 species